AUGGAGAAGGCCAUCCUGAACAGGCUGGAGUGGAACCUGACGGUGCCCACGCCCUACGUCUUUCUGGUGCGUUUCGCCAAGGCCGCGUCUUCCUCAGAUCACAAGAACGACGAGGAGAUGGAGAACACCGUCUUCUUCUUCGCGGAGCUGGCGCUGCUGCAGUACGGGCUGGUGCAGUCCAAGCCCUCCAUGGUGGCCGCCGCUGCUGUCUACACCGCCAGGCUCACCCUCAAGAAGACCCCUUUGUGGACCGACACUCUGAAGCACCACACUGGCUUUACUGAAGCACAGCUGAUGGACGCUGCCAAGAUCCUGGUGGCCUCGCACUCCACCGCACCUGACAGCAAGCUGAAGGUUGUCUACAAGAAAUUAUUGAUUCUUGUUAUUUUAAGUAUUACACUUGUUUCUGUCUAUUUUGAUUUAAAUAUUGGCUGUUUAAUUAUUGGCAUAUUGAAAUCUGAGGAACAUGACCAUGACAGCAAGGACCCACAAACCAGAAUCGAAAAUUUGGGAUCCACUUAUCAGAACCUGACAAUUGGGACCUAUUUGAAAAAAGAAAAAACGUGCCACAACCCAAAAAUAAAAAGGCCGGAUUAUAGGGCCUGGCCCGUGUAG
rnacentral:rRNA from 1 species